GCUUCCUUAGCUCAGUCGGUAGAGCGCGAGUCUCAUACUACUUACUGUGUGCGGGGCAUCAAUCCUACAAUCUCGAGGUCGCAAGUUCGAGACUUGCAGGGAGCA